rnacentral:rRNA from 1 species
AAAGUUGUUGCGGUUAAAAAGCUCGUAGUUGGACUUGUGUCCCACGCUGUCGGUUCACCGUUNGUCGGUGUUUAACUGGCAUGCCCGUGCGGACGUCCUGCCGGUGGAUGCGGUCGGCCGUGGGCCUUUGGUCUGCGUGUCGGCGGUCCGAUGCAAUCCUACCGCGGUGCUCUUCACCGAGUGUCGAGGUGGGCCGGCACGUUUACUUUGAACAAAUUAGAGUGCUCAAAGCAGGCAGUGGUUCGCCUGAAUAUUGUGUGCAUGGAAUAAUGGAAUAGGACCUCGGUUCUAUUUUGUUGGUUUUUCGGAACCUGAGGUAAUGAUUAAUAGGGACAGACGGGGGCAUUCGUAUUGCGACGUUAGAGGUGAAAUUCUUGGAUCGUCGCAAGACGAACCUAAGCGAAAGCAUUUGCCAUGAGUGUUUUCAUUAAUCAAGAACGAAAGUUAGAGGUUCGAAGGCGAUCAGAUACCGCCCUAGUUCUAACCAUAAACGAUGCCAGCUAGCGAUCCGCCGAAGUUCCUCCGAUGACUCGGCGGGCAGCUUCCGGGAAACCAAAGCUUUU